CACGUAGGGCGCAAGCGUUGUCCGGAAUUAUUGGGCGUAAAGAGCUCGUAGGCGGUCUGUUGCGUCCGCUGUGAAAACUCGGGGCUUAACCCCGAGCCUGCAGUGGAUACGGGCAGACUAGAGGUAGGUAGGGGAGAAUGGAAUUCCCGGUGUAGCGGUGAAAUGCGCAGAUAUCGGGAGGAACACCGGUGGCGAAGGCGGUUCUCUGGGCCUUACCUGACGCUCAGGCGCGAAAGCUAGGGGAGCGAACAGG
rnacentral:rRNA from 1 species